UCCCAACGCAAAAGUUGCUUUGCUUUGCUGGUUUCUUGCAGGUCCUGUGAGCAGCCUUUUGGUGAUACCACGGCCCUCGUCCCUGCUCAGCUCUACAGAUCAGCAAGGCCGUCAAAUCAACCGUCGCUUACCAACGCUUCCAGUGGUUCCGUUGAGCAAGUACGUAACAGUCGAGUCAGUGGCACAAGACUUCAAGCCUUGGGAAGGCCCCCCGGUUGUCCUUCCGUUAACUUAUCCUGCUGAUGACGAGGAUGCCGAGGGUUACUCUCACAGUAUGGUCGCCAUGGGAAGACAAAUAAGAGAACUAGAGGUAAGAAAGGGUUUUUUGCCUGGAUGAGAGACCAUUGACGGGUUUUGAUGACAGCAACAAGGCUCCACGGCAGCGAUGC
rnacentral:lncRNA from 1 species